rnacentral:rRNA from 1 species
AGCUCUCCGAGUGGUGUGGAUGUUUAUUGGGCCUAAAGCAUCCGUAGCUGGCUAAGUUAGUCCCUUGUUAAAUCCACCGAAUUAAUCGUUGGAUUGCGGGGGAUACUGCUUGGCUAGGGGACGAGAGAGGCAGACGGUAUUCCCGGGGUAGGGGUGAAAUCCUAUAAUCCCGGGAAGACCACCAGUGGCGAAGGCUGUCUGCUAGAACGCGCCCGACGGUGAGGGAUGAAAGCUGGGGGGAGCGAACC